rnacentral:rRNA from 1 species
ACGGGAGGCAGCAGUGGGGAAUAUUGCACAAUGGGCGCAAGCCUGAUGCAGCGAUGCCGCGUGAGGGAAGAAGGUUUUCGGAUUGUAAACCUCUGUUGACAGGGACGAUAAUGACUGUACCUGUUCAGAAAGCUCCGGCUAACUACGUGCCAGCAGCCGCGGUAAUACGUAGGGAGCGAGCGUUGUCCGGAAUUACUGGGUGUAAAGGGAGUGUAGGCGGGACUGUAAGUCAGAUGUGAAAAUUAGGGGCUCAACCCCUAACCUGCAUUUGAAACUGUGGUUCUUGAGUGAAGUAGAGGUAAGCGGAAUUCCUAGUGUAGCGGUGAAAUGCGUAGAUAUUAGGAGGAACAUCAGUGGCGAAGGCGGCUUACUGGGCUUUAACUGACGCUGAGGCUCGAAAGCGUGGGGAGCAAACAGGAUUAGAUACCCUGGUA